GAUGAACGCUGGCGGCGUGCCUAAUACAUGCAAGUCGAGCGAACGGACGAGAAGCUUGCUUCUCUUAUAUUAGCGGCGAACGGGUGAGUAACACGUGGAUAACCUACCUAUAAGACUGGGAUAACUUCGGGAAACCGGAGCUAAUACCGCAUAAUAUUUUUAACCACAUGGUUCAAAAGUGAAAGACGCUCUUGCUUUCACUUAUAGAUGUAUCCCCGCUGCAUUAGCUAGUUGUUAAGGUAACGGCUUACCAAGCGAACGAUGAAUAGCCGACCUGAGAGGGUGAUCGGCAACACUGGAACUGAGACACGGUCCAGACUCCUCCGGGAGGCAGCAGUAGGGAUUUUUCCGCAAUGGGCGAAAGCCUGCCGGGGCAACGCCGCGUGAGUGAUGAAGGUCUUCGGAUCGUAAAACUCUGUUAUUAGGGAAGACCAUAUGUGUAAGUAACUGUGCACCUAUUGACGGUACCUAAUCAGAAAGCCACGGCUAACUACGUG
rnacentral:rRNA from 1 species